GACGAACGCUGGCGGCGUGCUUAACACAUGCAAGUCGAACGGAAAGGCCCUGCUUUUGUGGGGUGCUCGAGUGCGAACGGGUGAGUAACACGUGAGUAACCUGCCCUUGACUUUGGGAUAACUUCAGGAAACUGGGGCUAAUACCGGAUAGGAGCUCCUGCUGCAUGGUGGGGGUUGGAAAGUUUCGGCGGUUGGGGAUGGACUCGGGGCUUAUCAGCUUGUUGGUGGGGUAGUGGCUUACCAAGGCUUUGACGGGUAGCCGGCCUGAGAGGGUGACCGGCCACAUUGGGACUGAGAUACGGCCCAGACUCCUACGGGAGGCAGCAGGGGGGAAUAUUGCACAAGGGGCGGAAGCCUGAUGCAGCAACGCCGCGUGCGGGAUGACGGCCUUCGGGUUGUAAACCGCUUUCGCCUGUGACGAAGCGUGAGUGACGGUAAUGGGUAAAGAAGCACCGGCUAACUACGU
rnacentral:rRNA from 1 species